rnacentral:rRNA from 1 species
AUGAUGGGCUGCUUCACUGGCCUGAGGUCCAAGAAGAAGAAGAGCCCUCUUGUCGCAAGCAAGAAGCAUGGCGAUGCAAGGGACACAUCCCUGAGGCUCCCGGAGCCGGAAGCUCAUGUGCCAUCUCUGCAGUCGGCGCCUCCUAGUUUCAGGAACAGGGCAAAGAUCUGCCAAUCGGCCAAUAAAGUCUCUUACAGCAGGGCACGUGUGCUGUCUGCUCCCUCCAGCCUGAUCCUGGUUGAUCAGGAUGGCCUUCCGUAUGCCGAAUUCGAUGAUCAGGAUGACCCUAGGGGCAAGGGAGGAGCUAUUAAGGCGCAUCGGUUUUCAAAUCCGCUGCCCCUUCCUCUUCCCUCACCAGAAGGCAGUUCUUUGAGGAACUUUGGUAGCUUCAAGGCUAUCAAUGCAAGUGGGCCACUUGAGGUUUCAGGUCCUCUCCCACUGCCUCCGAAGAGGUCCGAUGGGCUUAAGAACUUCUCGUAUGAUGAGAUUUCCACUGCUUGCCAGUGGUUUUCUAGUGAUCAGUGUGUCUCGGAAACUCAGACUUUGACGUCAUAUAAGGCAUCGUUCAGGGAUGAUUUUGUUGAACCAAAGAAGAUGGACGCAAUAGUUGCCCGAUUACUCCCGUCCAACCAGAGUUUCAAAGAAUUUAAGGCACAAGUAAAUACGUUGGCAUCACUUCAACAUCCCAAUUUAUGUAAACUCAUCGGCUAUCAUGCAAGAGAUGAAUCUAAUGAAAGGAUGUUGGUUUAUGAGCGGCUCCAUCAUGGCAGUUUAGACAGGUUACUCUUUGGAAGACCGGAAGGUCGUUUGAUGGACUGGUCUACACGUUUGAAGGUUGCCCUUGGUGCUGCUAAAGGUCUAGCUUUCCUACACGAUGAAGGACCCUUUCAGGCAAUGUAUGAUGACUUCUCAACCUCAAACAUCCAAAUAGAGAAAGAUUUCACGGCAAAGCUGUCGGGAUAUGGUUGUGUUGGCUUCAAUUCUGAGGAGGAAAGAUCUAAGGCAUCUGUGACUGCUACAAACCUCUCAGAGGAAACCUUGGAGAAAGGGGUACUGACUCCCAAGAGCAACGUAUGGAGCUUUGGAGUCGUCUUGCUCGAGCUAAUAACAGGAAGGAAGAACCUUGAUGUACGUUCCACCAAAGAAGAACGCAAUAUUGUCAAGUGGGGCAGGCCUUUCCUCACGGACGAUAGUCGCCUAUCCCUCAUCAUGGAUCCCCGUAUAAAAGGACGCUUUCCUCCCAAGGCUGCUAGGACUGUGGCAGACAUCAUCCUGAAGUGCCUUCAUAGGGAUCCAUCCGAAAGGCCUACGAUGAGGGCCGUCGUGGAGUCUCUAGCAAGCGUCCAGGACAUAAAGGUCCCCUGCCGGUAUCCUCUUCAAGUACCGUCCGCCGCACCGAGGAAAGUGAUGCUAAAAUCCACGAGUCUCAACGGCAUUGUUCCUCAGCAUCCUGUCAUGACCUUCUCGCCGUCGCCUCCUUCGCGCAACCAGCACCUGGUGUCACCGAGAUCAUCGACGUCUGCGCUGCUUCCCCCAAGGAACUGCUCUUCCACCAUCACCCUGGACUACCCCAGGGUAAGCUCGGUCAAGAAAUCGCCCCCCAACAUCAUGCGGAGACCUGGCGUCGAGGGUUUUUGA